rnacentral:rRNA from 1 species
UGCAAGUCGAGCGGACAGAAGGGAGCUUGCUCCCGGAUGUUAGCGGCGGACGGGUGAGUAACACGUGGGUAACCUGCCUGUAAGACUGGGAUAACUCCGGGAAACCGGAGCUAAUACCGGAUAGUUCCUUGAACCGCAUGGUUCAAGGAUGAAAGACGGUUUCGGCUGUCACUUACAGAUGGACCCGCGGCGCAUUAGCUAGUUGGUGGGGUAAUGGCUCACCAAGGCGACGAUGCGUAGCCGACCUGAGAGGGUGAUCGGCCACACUGGGACUGAGACACGGCCCAGACUCCUACGGGAGGCAGCAGUAGGGAAUCUUCCGCAAUGGACGAAAGUCUGACGGAGCAACGCCGCGUGAGUGAUGAAGGUUUUCGGAUCGUAAAGCUCUGUUGUUAGGGAAGAACAAGUGCGAGAGUAACUGCUCGCACCAUGACGGUACCUAACCAGAAAGCCACGGCUAACUACGUGCCAGCAGCCGCGGUAAUACGUAGGUGGCAAGCGUUGUCCGGAAUUAUUGGGCGUAAAGGGCUCGCAGGCGGUUUCUUAAGUCUGAUGUGAAAGCCCCCGGCUCAACCGGGGAGGGUCAUUGGAAACUGGGAAACUUGAGUGCAGAAGAGGAGAGUGGAAUUCCACGUGUAGCGGUGAAAUGCGUAGAGAUGUGGAGGAACACCAGUGGCGAAGGCGACUCUCUGGUCUGUAACUGACGCUGAGGAGCGAAAGCGUGGGGAGCGAACAGGAUUAGAUACCCUGGUAGUCCACGCCGUAAACGAUGAGUGCUAAGUGUUAGGGGGUUUCCGCCCCUUAGUGCUGCAGCUAACGCAUUAAGCACUCCGCCUGGGGAGUACGGUCGCAAGACUGAAACUCAAAGGAAUUGACGGGGGCCCGCACAAGCGGUGGAGCAUGUGGUUUAAUUCGAAGCAACGCGAAGAACCUUACCAGGUCUUGACAUCCUCUGACAACCCUAGAGAUAGGGCUUUCCCUUCGGGGACAGAGUGACAGGUGGUGCAUGGUUGUCGUCAGCUCGUGUC